UACGGGGGGGGCAAGCGUUGUUCGGAAUUACUGGGCGUAAAGGGCUCGUAGGUGGCCAACUAAGUCAUACGUGAAAUCCCUCGGCUUAACCGGGGAACUGCGUCUGAUACUGGAUGGCUUGAGGUUGGGAGAGGGAUGCGGAAUUCCAGGUGUAGCGGUGAAAUGCGUAGAUAUCUGGAGGAACACCGGUGGCGAAGGCGGCAUCCUGGACCGGCAUUGACGCUGAGGCGACGAAAGCCAGGGGAGCAAACGGGG
rnacentral:rRNA from 1 species